rnacentral:rRNA from 1 species
GAUGGACGCUGGCGGCGUGCCUAAUACAUGCAAGUCGAGUGAACAGACGAGGAGCUUGCUCCUCUGACGUUAGCGGCGGACGGGUGAGUAACACGUGGAUAACCUACCUAUAAGACUGGGAUAACUUCGGGAAACCGGAGCUAAUACCGGAUAAUAUAUUGAACCGCAUGGUUCAAUAGUGAAAGACGGUUUUGCUGUCACUUAUAGAUGGAUCCGCGCCGCAUUAGCUAGUUGGUAAGGUAACGGCUUACCAAGGCAACGAUGCGUAGCCGACCUGAGAGGGUGAUCGGCCACACUGGAACUGAGACACGGUCCAGACUCCUACGGGAGGCAGCAGUAGGGAAUCUUCCGCAAUGGGCGAAAGCCUGACGGAGCAACGCCGCGUGAGUGAUGAAGGUCUUCGGAUCGUAAAACUCUGUUAUUAGGGAAGAACAAAUGUGUAAGUAACUAUGCACGUCUUGACGGUACCUAAUCAGAAAGCCACGGCUAACUACGUG